CCUCUGGAAGGAUUGGGGGGCAGGGAGGGAGACAGUUUGCAUAGCUGUAGAAGAGGCGGAGCAUCUUCCUUUCACCCCUAUUCUUGACCAUCUCCCAGCCGUGAACGAGAGCCUAACAACAACUAUUAACCAUGCUAGCUGAAUGAACAGAGGCAGUGCAACUGAUUGCCAGACAUGCAACAGAGGCAAGCAUCAAUUCAACAUCAUUUGGUAAGGCAUCUGGCUACAAAACAAAGUGCUGGGGCUAGGUCUGAUCCAGAAAGAGAAUGCUUAUAUAUAUUCCUAAAAUGUUGCUCGCUGUUGUUGCAAAAUGCCUUUAAUAAUAAUUAUAGCAAUUCGGAUUUAAGAGCCGGUGGCUUUCUGCAAUAACUGCUCGUGAAGCCAUGUUUUCCUAAAUAUCCUGCACUUUCCCCAUAUACUGUGACUGGUUUGUAUUCUGCAUUACAGAUGGGAGUCUAAGAUCUGCAAUGAAGGUCUGCAUCUAAUGCAAGCUACUGGGACCAAGAUGCUCAUGAUAAUUUGUCGUUCCAGCUCUGGAAUUGCAACUAAAAACCCUUCCUGACUUUGGUGGUGUUGUUAGCUAUUGCUCACACUCUUUAAAAGAGAGGUGAGGAGACUGUGGCUUUCCUCCCAUCACCCCUGACCAUUGGACAUGCUGGCUGGGGCUGAUGGGAAUUGGAAUCCAGCAACACCUGCUUCAGAAACUUGAAAGAUGGAGACUUCAAAUGAAAUUCUCCCAAUGCUAAACCCUUUCCAGUAUAAAAUACAAACAAGCCCUGCACAGAAUCUUCUCUUGCCAUUCCCAUUCCCAGGAAGCAACUGAAAGGAUUGCGAUUGCUAGGCAUAUAAUAGGAAUCAAAGUGGUCUUGCAGUUGAAGGUAGGCUGUUGCCAUUGUAAACGAGGUUUAGCUUGCCUGGUCCUGGACAUCCUCGUCACAGAGUUCCAGCUGCAUGAUGCGCUCAAAGGGGCGGAAGAGGGCCUCAUUCAAGUGAAAAUGAGGGGGCUCAUUCCAGUCUGUCAGAACCUCAGUUAGGAUGUCGUGGAUGAAAGAGACAGCCUUCCGAGAAACAUGCCUUUCUUUAUGGCAGGCAGCCUGCAGCAACAAGAGGAGUAAAAAGCAGGAUUUCAGUCAAGCAAAAAAUGCCUUUUUGACAAGAACUGGCAAGGACUGUUCCUUAGGAGGAGGGUGGGAGAGAAUUCAAAGAAAAUCUGGUGAGGCCUAGCACUAAAAAUGUCUACAGUAAGUACAACGAGGAAAUCUGUUUGAGUGAGAUUUCAUGUUACAACGCCAUUUUAAUUUUAUUUUGCCUCUUUUAUCUCCCUGAGCUAUUUGAUUUCCUUAGACUGCGAUCCCCUUAGAAAAUGGCUGUAUGUCGUUCUGAGCCCAUGAGAUAGAGGGGGAGACAUAAAUCAACCAAACAUACAAACGGCCAACCUAUCAUGAAGAAAUGAAUAAAGCUGUUUUUAUGAGGA